UGGGGAAUUUUGGACAAUGGGCGAAAGCCUGAUCCAGCAAUGCCGCGUGUGUGAAGAAGGCCUUCGGGUUGUAAAGCACUUUUGUCCGGAAAGAAAUCCUUGGCUCUAAUACAGUCGGGGGAUGACGGUACCGGAAGAAUAAGCACCGGCUAACUACGUGCCAGCAGCCGCGGUAAUACGUAGGGUGCAAGCGUUAAUCGGAAUUACUGGGCGUAAAGCGUGCGCAGGCGGUUUGCUAAGACCGAUGUGAAAUCCCCGGGCUCAACCUGGGAACUGCAUUGGUGACUGGCAGGCUAGAGUAUGGCAGAGGGGGGUAGAAUUCCACGUGUAGCAGUGAAAUGCGUAGAGAUGUGGAGGAAUACCGAUGGCGAAGGCAGCCCCCUGGGCCAAAUACUGACGCUCAUGCACGAAAGCGUGGGGAGCAAAACAGGAUUAGAUACCCUGGUAGUCCACGCCCUAAAACGAUGUCAACUAGUUGUUGGGGAUUCAUUUCCUUAGUAACGUAGCUAACGCGUGAAGUUGACCGCCUGGGGAGUACGGUCGCAAGAUUAAAACUUAAAUGAAUUGACGGGGUCAUAG
rnacentral:rRNA from 1 species